GGGGUUUCGGAGUAAGCUGUUGCCAAUGGCGAAACCAGGUCGAGGCCGUGCGGCUUCACCGUCAGGCUCGUCUUCUCGUUCCCGGUCUCGUUCCCGUUCCCGGUCUCGCUCUUACACUCCUUCAAACUCUCGCUCCUCAAGUUCGCGUUCUCCAUCUCGAUCUAGAUCCCGCUCCAGAUCAAUUUCUUCAUCUUCCUCUGCUUCCCGGAGUGCAAGUUCUCGCAGCCCUAGUCGUCGCCCUCCAUCUCAACGAAAAAGCCCUGCUGGAGUAUCUAAGCGAGGCCGCUCGCCGCCACCACCACCAGAGUCUAAGAAAGCUUCUCCACCUCCAAGGAAAGUAUCUCCUAUACCUGAGUCGCGUGUAAUUCAUGUGGAUCAACUCAGCAGGAAUGUCAAUGAAAACCAUUUGAAAGAAAUAUUUGGUAAUUUUGGUGAAAUUCUGCAUGUGCAGUUGGCCAUUGAUCAUGUUGUUAAUCUUCCCAAAGGGUUUGCUUAUGUUGAGUUCAAGACUAGAAUUGAUGCUGAGAAAGCCCAACUACACAUGGAUGGUGCUCAGAUUGAUGGGAAAGUAGUUCAUGCCAGGUUUACCCUUCCUGAGCGAAAGAAGGCUGCCUCACCUCCAAGGGCUGUUGCAACUUCCUCAAGAAGAGAUGCUCCGAGAACCGAUAAUGCUCCUGUUGAUGUGGAGAAAGAUGGACCAAAACGGCAACAAGAGUUAUCUCCUCGUCGAAAGCCUGCUUCUUCACCUCGGAGGUCCCCUAUAGGACGAAGAGGGUCUCCUAGACGUGGGCCAGAUUCUCCUGUUCGCCGUCGAGCAAAUUCUCCUUUUAGGCGCGGCAGUCCACCACCCCACAGGAGGAGGCCUGCAUCUCCCAUGAGGCGCCGUUCACCAUCCCCUCCACUAAGACGUCAUCGGACACCUCCUAGGGGCUCUCCCAGAAGAAUUCGUGGCAGUCCUGUUAGAAGACGUUCUCCCCUUCCGCCAAGGCGUCGUUCUCCACGACGUGCUAGAAGUCCACCCAGAAGAUCUCCGAUUGGUCGUCGGUCCCGUUCACCUAUUAGAAGGCCUCUCCGGUCACGAUCAAGAUCCAUUUCUCCUAGGCGGGGAAGGGGUGCAGCUGCAAGACGUGGGAGGUCAUCA
rnacentral:misc_RNA from 1 species